AUUGAACGCUGGCGGCAUGCCUUACACAUGCAAGUCGAACGGCAGCGGACCUUCGGGUGCCGGCGAGUGGCGAACGGGUGAGUAAAGUAUCGGAACGUACCUUUCAGUGGGGGAUAACGUAGCGAAAGUUACGCUAAUACCGCAUAUUCUGUGAGCAGGAAAGCAGGGGAUCUUCGGACCUUGCGCUUUUGGAGCGGCCGAUGUCGGAUUAGCUAGUUGGUGGGGUAAAGGCUCACCAAGGCAACGAUCCGUAGCGGGUCUGAGAGGAUGAUCCGCCACACUGGAACUGAGACACGGUCCAGACUCCUACGGGAGGCAGCAGUGGGGAAUUUUGGACAAUGGGCGCAAGCCUGAUCCAGCCAUGCCGCGUGAGUGAAGAAGGCCUGGUUGUAAGACUCUUCGGUUUGGGUAAGGAAAAUUAGCUUGUGUUAAUACCCUGAGUAGAUGACGGUACCAGCAUAAGAAG
rnacentral:rRNA from 1 species